rnacentral:misc_RNA from 1 species
AACACUGUUAACCUGCGGUACCUGCGGAGGGAUCAUUACCGAGUUUACAACUCCCAAACCCCUGUGAACAUACCUAUACGUUGCCUCGGCGGAUCAGCCCGCGCCCUGUAAAAAGGGACGGCCCGCCCGAGGACCCUAAACUCUGUUUUUAGUGGAACUUCUGAGUAAAACAAACAAAUAAAUCAAAACUUUUAACAAUGGAUCU